UACGUAGGGUGCGAGCGUUAAUCGGAAUUACUGGGCGUAAAGCGUGCGCAGGCGGUUUCGUAAGCCAGAUGUGAAAUCCCCGGGCUUAACCUGGGAACUGCAUUUGUGACUGCGAGGCUAGAGUACGGCAGAGGGGGGUAGAAUUCCACGUGUAGCAGCGAAAUGCGUAGAUAUGUGGAGGAAUACCGAUGGCGAAGGCAGCCCCCUGGGUCGAUACUGACGCUCAGGCACGAAAGCGUGGGGAGCAAACAGG
rnacentral:misc_RNA from 1 species